UCCUUUGUAGCUUAGUUGGUAAAGAACUUGCCUGCAGUGCAGGAGACCUGGGUUCGAUCCCUGGGUUGGGAA
rnacentral:tRNA from 1 species